rfam:Harpegnathos saltator strain R22 G/1 HarSal_1.0_2.contig8597, whole genome shotgun sequence.
CGUCAGGUAGCUCAGUAGUUUAAAGCAGUUGCCCGGAAAGCGAAAGACCCGGGUUCGAUUCCCGGUCGAGCGA